rnacentral:lncRNA from 1 species
CUCGGGCCUCCUUGCUCCAGGUGACAAUAUGCGUCUGUGGUUUGAGUGCAACCAUCACUGACCAAAAGCUACCCAUGAGAUGCCAUGAAUCCAUGCUGCUUAAUUCUCAUGUUUGUGACUAUCACUGAUGACAGUAUGCCUUCAGCACGCGAAAAGAUGAGUAAAAGUGUUAUAUACAGCUUCGACUUACUGCUCACGGAGAUGAUGACUGAACAACGCGCCAUCGAUUCAUUCGUGUUCGACGAGGGAACCGACCUUGUGGGAUCGGUUCACAAAAAGUAAUAGGUUGGUACAAGAUCAUGGACUCCGAUUACGAUAAGCGUGCAGAGGGAGACUUUUCGUGAACCCUUUGAAUCGUCUAUCAGCGCGAAAGGUUGUGUCAAUUUUUAAAAAAACUGUACUCAAAUCAGGUCUCCGCGCAGGCGCUGGCAAGGAUGAUGGCGCAGACAAGAGUGGCUCGUCAGGUGUAGAUGUAUUUGCAUUGAAAUAAACUACAAGCUGAGCUUAUCAUGUGAAUCUUUCGGGAACUCAGUGUUUGACUCUUGUGAGCCCAUGAGCGAGGUUCAAUCGUGAUAAUGUUUUUGAUGAAUUACUAGUGAACUCGACGGAGACAGAACAUUUUUUCUGCUAAACAGGGGUUAUACAUUGACGACGCUAUGGUAAUGAAUGGCCUGCAGCGCUUCAGUUACUGCUGUAUCUACAUUGCAGCUGUUACUCGUCUGCGAUUGUUGUUUAAACGCGAUAUUCUAC